rnacentral:rRNA from 1 species
GAACCGUCCAAACGUUAUUCGGAAUCACUGGGCUUGAAGGGUGCGUAGGCGGUGUCGUAAGUUGGGUGUGAAAUCCCUCGGCUCAACCGAGGAACUGCGCCCAAUACUGCGGUACUAGAGGGAGAUAGGGGUAAGCGGAACUGAUGGUGGAGCGGUGAAAUGCGUUGAUAUCAUCAGGAACACCGGUGGCGAAAGCGGCUUACUGGAUCUCUUCUGACGCUGAGGCACGAAAGCUAGGGGAGCGAACGGGGGAUUAGAUACCCCGGUAGUCCUAGCUGUAAACGAUGAGCACUUGGUCGAAGACUCCUCCAUAGGUUUUCGGCCGUAGCGAAAGUGUUAAGUGCUCCGCCUGGGGGAGUAUGGUCGCAAGGCUG